rnacentral:rRNA from 1 species
GCCUAGCCCUAAACAUAAGCAGUUUAAUACCCCACUGCUCGCCAGGGAACUACAAGCCCCAGCUUAAAACCCAAAGGACUUGGCGGUGCUUUAGACCCCUCUAGAGGAGCCUGUUCUAGAAUCGAUAACCCCCGCUCCACCUCACCCUCUCUUGCCCCUUCCGCCUAUAUACCGCCGUCGUCAGCUUACCCUGUGAAGGAUAAAUAGUAAGCAAAAUUGGUUUAAUCCCCAAAACGUCAGGUCAAGGUGUAGCUAACGAGAGGGAAUGUAAUGGGCUACAUUUACUGUCCCAGUAAACACGGACUCUGCCCUGAAAAGGGCAUUUGAAGGAGGAUUUAGCAGUAAGAAAGGAACAAGAGUGCCUUUCUGAAAAUGGCCCUGAAGCGCGCACACACCGCCCGUCACUCUCCCCAACGGUCCCCCUUAGCUAUUAACUAAUUUAAUUUCACCACAAAGGGGAGGCAAGUCGUAACAUGGUAAGCGUACCGGAAGGUGCGCUUGGUUAAAA